rnacentral:rRNA from 1 species
AUUGAACGCUGGCGGCAUGCUUUACACAUGCAAGUCGAACGGUAACAGGUCUUUCGGGAUGCUGACGAGUGGCGAACGGGUGAGUAAUGUAUCGGAACGUGCCCAGUAGUGGGGGAUAACUACUCGAAAGAGUGGCUAAUACCGCAUGAGAUCUCUGGAUGAAAGCGGGGGACCGUAAGGCCUCGCGCUACUGGAGCGGCCGAUAUCAGAUUAGGUUGUUGGUGAGGUAAAGGCUCACCAAGCCGACGAUCUGUAGCUGGUCUGAGAGGACGACCAGCCACACUGGGACUGAGACACGGCCCAGACUCCUACGGGAGGCAGCAGUAAGGAAUAUUGGUCAAUGGAGGAAACUCUGAACCAGCCAUCCCGCGUGCAGGAAGAAUGCCCUAUGGGUUGUAAACUGCUUUUAUCUGGGAAGAAAAGCCGGCAUUUAUGUUGGUCUGACGGUACCAGAGGAAUAAGCACCGGCUAACUCCGUGCCAGCA